rnacentral:lncRNA from 1 species
GGCAGCUCUGCUGCUAAGAACCUGCAGCUUUUGGAAGAAAGGCACCCUGUGGUUUCAGAAGCCCAAGAGUCCCUGCAGCUCAGCACCCCCAGCCUGGUGCUUGGCAGAUGAUUGCCUCCUCACUUAGGAGAGGGAGCAGAAAACUGUGUAUUCUUCAGAACAUCAUGAUAACCUGGCAUUCAUGGGUCUAUGGAGAGAAUUCAGGGGGUCUGGGAGCUUGGAUGGGAUAAAUUUGCAUCUUUAUUUUCAGGAAAGUUUUACUGAAGUUUAGCAUUUUCUUUCAUUAUAAAUGGAACAGUACAACCCAAUAGUAUGCACAGUUACUUCUCCACAACGUUAAAGUGGCUGCAGAUGUCUCAAAAUAUUAUUUACAUUUAUCAUAACUUAGAAAUUUGGGUGGUAAUUAAACCAGCAACUAUUCUUUGUUUAAUGCAUUAAGAAAGAAGUAUGUAUACUAUCAUAUCUCAAUUAAAAAUAUUUUAAGAACUGGAUUUUAACUGUAUUGGUUUCCU